UUUCCCCAGUGUGACUGUAAUUUCAGUACAGAAAAUGUGCAGCAGCCUGAUGAAUGCUAUGUCUGGCUAGCAUUCUUAUAGCUGGCGGUAGAUACAGUUUCAUGCUUCAUCCAUUUUUUUUUUAUGUAAAGACUAUGAGCCAAAGUGCUUUGAAGUCAGUGAAACCCUUUCAUAAACUUCAAUGGGCAAUGAAUCAACCCCUAAUGAACAAAAUAUAAGCAACUGAUGCUCCAUUUUUUCUUAAUCUUCUCUGUGUGUGAAACACUGUACUAUGUAACACGUAUUUAUCCUAUAUUUAUGCAUGCAUAUAAACAUAUAGCACAUAUACAUCCAUACAAGCAAUUAUACAUACACACACAUUGUAGGGAAAGAGGGAAGAGAUCUGCUAAAAAUAUCUCUUUGCUCUUUAUAUUGACUGCAAACCAUUUAAUAACUUAUAAUUAGUGUACUUAUAGUACGGAGUUUGAGAACUGUACCAAUUUGGUGUGCAAUAGCUACUGGAUAUUGAUGACAGCUGCAUUAUAUUCUUAGGUACAGGCAGUUACUUAGUAGCAAAGAUCCAGCCACAUUGGAAAGAAAAAGAAAUGAUGAAAAAGGUUAGUUUGCAAAUAGUUUGAAUAUAGUAAAACAAACAGCAGCUCCUUUUUUGUUUCCAGAGGGCACGCUUCAUGAUUCCCAUUUAUGUUCAAUAAGAAGAAACAUGUUGUAAUGUGAAGUAGUGUUUUGUUUUUUGCAGUAUUAUGAGUCCCAGACCUUGUAGAAAGCUAGGUACAGUCACCAUUAUAGGGGACUUAAAUUGCAGGUGGAUGCUUAAGCCCUGUGUACAUGUUAUUUAAAUUUUGCUUAUUUACUUUGAAUAACUGGAACAAAAUGGCUGAUUCAUAGACGCUUUUCCCACUAAGGCUUAAAUAACAGGCAUGAAUAAAGCUAGUCAGGAACUAGCUGUAGGAACUUGACACCAGAAAUGAGUUUGUAUGUAGGUAGGAAGGUUUAUAUUCUCGAAUAAUGCUUAGAAAUUACAAAGAUCAUGAAAAUCAUUUGACAACAUGUGAAGAGAAUUUUUGGAGUCCAAAUUACUACCACAGCAAAGAUCUUUAGGACACAAGAAGCUCUAAUACAGAAAUUUCAGGCUGCCACCUACUUCUUGCUUUCAGAUGAUUGAUAACUUGGGAAUAAAACCUUGAAAUAUAAAUCAUCUUAAGCAAUGAUCCAGGCAAGAUUAAAAGGGUCUUUAUUUUCUUACAUGUAAUUGAAGAGGAAUGCAAGAGGUAUUUAUAACAUUUUAAACCUAAGGCCAAUACUGAUUUAAAUUAGAUUAAUCAGGCAGGAUAUUAUAGAAAUAUUUAUCAUAUUGACUGAUUUACAUAUGCUUGCUAUCACAGUAUUGACAUCCAUUUAGUAGAUUAAAACUAAAUUUGGAACUUUAGCACAAAAAAUGAUUUUUCUUGACCAAAAAUCAGGUACAGUCUAUUGCAAAAUUGACUGUUGGCCAGGGAAGAAACUCAAGGUUCAGGCAGAAAUAUCUGUUCACUUUCCCUCUUAGCCCUUUGUGUUGCCAUACAAAUAGAGAACUGCUGCCUGGUGUGUGGUGUACAGCACGCUUCUCUGCCCCCAGGGGAUUUUGCUUGAUUUUGUCCACUAUCCAGACCAGAGAAGUUACCCUGGUUCAGCUCUGCUUUGGUCAUUGCCUGUAGUAUAUGCAACAUAGUAUUCAAGCUAUCCGCCAUCUCAGCUCUUAUGUUCUUCUUUAGGUGUCUGCUUUUGGUUGGCUGUCAUGUAAUCAGUUGGAUGCACCUGUAUUCUGAGCCAGGAUGGCUGUUUUGAUGAGAUGUAUUUUCUCGAGCAGCAUCACCUGCAGAUCAGCCUCACCCUUAGAAUAUUUAUGUUUAAUUAAUGUUUUGGCAUCCUGGA
ensembl:lncRNA